UUAAGCGACUAAGCGUACACGGUGGAUGCCCUGGCAGUCAGAGGCGAUGAAGGACGUGCUAAUCUGCGAUAAGCGUCGGUAAGGUGAUAUGAACCGUUAUAACCGGCGAUUUCCGAAUGGGGAAACCCAGUGUGAUCCGUCACACUAUCAUUAACUGAAUCCAUAGGUUAAUGAGGCGAACCGGGGGAACUGAAACAUCUAAGUACCCCGAGGAAAAGAAAUCAACCGAGAUUCCCCCAGUAGCGGCGAGCGAACGGGGAGGAGCCCAGAGCCUGAAUCAGUAUGUGUGUUAGUGGAAGCGUCUGGAAAGGCGUGCGAUACAGGGUGACAGCCCCGUACACAAAAAUGCACAUGCUGUGAGCUCGAUGAGUAGGGCGGGACACGUGGUAUCCUGUCUGAAUAUGGGGGGACCAUCCUCCAAGGCUAAAUACUCCUGACUGACCGAUAGUGAACCAGUACCGUGAGGGAAAGGCGAAAAGAACCCCGGCGAGGGGAGUGAAAAAGAACCUGAAACCGUGUACGUACAAGCAGUGGGAGCCUCUUUAAUGGGGUGACUGCGUACCUUUUGUAUAAUGGGUCAGCGACUUAUAUUCUGUAGCAAGGUUAACCGAAUAGGGGAGCCGAAGGGAAACCGAGUCUUAACUGGGCGUUAAGUUGCAGGGUAUAGACCCGAAACCCGGUGAUCUAGCCAUGGGCAGGUUGAAGGUUGGGUAACACUAACUGGAGGACCGAACCGACUAAUGUUGAAAAAUUAGCGGAUGACUUGUGGCUGGGGGUGAAAGGCCAAUCAAACCGGGAGAUAGCUGGUUCUCCCCGAAAGCUAUUUAGGUAGCGCCUCGUGAAUUCAUCUCCGGGGGUAGAGCACUGUUUCGGCAAGGGGGUCAUCCCGACUUACCAACCCGAUGCAAACUGCGAAUACCGGAGAAUGUUAUCACGGGAGACACACGGCGGGUGCUAACGUCCGUCGUGAAGAGGGAAACAACCCAGACCGCCAGCUAAGGUCCCAAAGUCAUGGUUAAGUGGGAAACGAUGUGGGAAGGCCCAGACAGCCAGGAUGUUGGCUUAGAAGCAGCCAUCAUUUAAAGAAAGCGUAAUAGCUCACUGGUCGAGUCGGCCUGCGCGGAAGAUGUAACGGGGCUAAACCAUGCACCGAAGCUGCGGCAGCGACACUAUGUGUUGUUGGGUAGGGGAGCGUUCUGUAAGCCGUUGAAGGUGUGCUGUGAGGCAUGCUGGAGGUAUCAGAAGUGCGAAUGCUGACAUAAGUAACGAUAAAGCGGGUGAAAAGCCCGCUCGCCGGAAGACCAAGGGUUCCUGUCCAACGUUAAUCGGGGCAGGGUGAGUCGACCCCUAAGGCGAGGCCGAAAGGCGUAGUCGAUGGGAAACAGGUUAAUAUUCCUGUACUUGGUGUUACUGCGAAGGGGGGACGGAGAAGGCUAUGUUGGCCGGGCGACGGUUGUCCCGGUUUAAGCGUGUAGGCUGAUUUUCCAGGCAAAUCCGGAGAAUCAAGGCUGAGGCGUGAUGACGAGGCACUACGGUGCUGAAGCAACAAAUGCCCUGCUUCCAGGAAAAGCCUCUAAGCAUCAGGUAACAUCAAAUCGUACCCCAAACCGACACAGGUGGUCAGGUAGAGAAUACCAAGGCGCUUGAGAGAACUCGGGUGAAGGAACUAGGCAAAAUGGUGCCGUAACUUCGGGAGAAGGCACGCUGAUGGUAGGUGAAGCGACUUGCUCGUGGAGCUGAAAUCAGUCGAAGAUACCAGCUGGCUGCAACUGUUUAUUAAAAACACAGCACUGUGCAAACACGAAAGUGGACGUAUACGGUGUGACGCCUGCCCGGUGCCGGAAGGUUAAUUGAUGGGGUCAGCCGCAAGGCGAAGCUCUUGAUCGAAGCCCCGGUAAACGGCGGCCGUAACUAUAACGGUCCUAAGGUAGCGAAAUUCCUUGUCGGGUAAGUUCCGACCUGCACGAAUGGCGUAAUGAUGGCCAGGCUGUCUCCACCCGAGACUCAGUGAAAUUGAACUCGCUGUGAAGAUGCAGUGUACCCGCGGCAAGACGGAAAGACCCCGUGAACCUUUACUAUAGCUUGACACUGAACAUUGAGCCUUGAUGUGUAGGAUAGGUGGGAGGCUUUGAAGUGUGGACGCCAGUCUGCAUGGAGCCGACCUUGAAAUACCACCCUUUAAUGUUUGAUGUUCUAACGUGGACCCGUGAACCGGGUUGCGGACAGUGUCUGGUGGGUAGUUUGACUGGGGCGGUCUCCUCCUAAAGAGUAACGGAGGAGCACGAAGGUUGGCUAAUCCUGGUCGGACAUCAGGAGGUUAGUGCAAUGGCAUAAGCCAGCUUGACUGCGAGCGUGACGGCGCGAGCAGGUGCGAAAGCAGGUCAUAGUGAUCCGGUGGUUCUGAAUGGAAGGGCCAUCGCUCAACGGAUAAAAGGUACUCCGGGGAUAACAGGCUGAUACCGCCCAAGAGUUCAUAUCGACGGCGGUGUUUGGCAC
rnacentral:rRNA from 1 species